AUUGAACGCUGGCGGCGUGCUUUACACAUGCAAGUCGGACGGCAUCACGGGCUUCGGCCUGGUGGCGAGUGGCGAACGGGUGAGUAGAACAUCGGAACGUACCUGUUAGUGGGGGAUAACUCUUCGUAAGAUGAGCUCAUACCUCAUAAUUUCUGAGGAGGAAAGGCAGUGACCGGCAGGGGCCUGUCGCUGACAGAGCGGACGAUGGCUGAGUAAGUAGCUGGUGGGGUGAAGGCCUACCAAGGCGAUGAUCAGUAGCUGUUCUGAGAGGAAGAUCAGCCACACUGGGACUGAGACACGGCCCAGACUCCUACGGGAGGUAGCAGUGGGGAAUUUUGGACAAUGGGGGCAACCCUGAUCCAGCAACGCCGCGUGAAUGAAGAAGGCCUUAGGGUUGUAAAGUUCUUUUGUCGCAGAGCAAAGGUUAAUGGUUAAUAGCCAUUAACGCUGAGAGUAUGCGAAGAAUAAGCACCGGCUAACUACGUGCCAGCAGCCGCGGUAA
rnacentral:rRNA from 1 species